CAAUAGCGUAUAUUUAAGUUGUUGCAGUUAAAAAGCUCGUAGUUGGAUUUCGGUUGAGAGCGGCCGGUCCGCCGUUAGGUGUGCACUGAUUGGUCUCAGCUUCCUGGUGAGGAGGUGUGCUUCACGGCCACUUAGUCACCGUGGUUACUUUGAAAAAAUUAGAGUGUUCAAAGCGGGCUUACGCUUGAAUAUAUUAGCAUGGAAUAACACCAUAGGACUCCUGUCCUAUUUCGUUGGUCUCGGGACGGGAGUAAUGAUUAAGAGGAACAGUUGGGGGCAUUCGUAUUUCAUUGUCAGAGGUGAAAUUCUUGGAUUUAUGAAAGACGAACUUCUGCGAAAGCAUUUGCCAAGGAUGUUUUCAUUGA
rnacentral:rRNA from 1 species